rnacentral:lncRNA from 1 species
AGCUAAAGAGCCUGCUCCUCAGAAAAUCAUGAGCCAUUUUCACCACCACAGUGUCAGUACAGAGGAGAAAGUGCCUCUCCACACCACCCUUGACUUCCACAGCUGUCUUGUGGAUGGUCUCUUGGAUGCCUCUUCUGCCUUCAAAGCCCUAUUUUACCAGGCUUUCCCAUUCACAGUGAAUGUCUUCCACUUUGCUAAUGUCUCCAGAAACACAAUAUAUAUCACCUGUUAUCUGAAGGUCAAUCUGGUUGACCAAGUCCCAGAUCAACUAAACAAAGCCUGUUCCUUCAGCAAGUUUUCCAAUAGCUGGUCCCCAGUAGAAGACACUGCUGACAUCUGUGAAUAUCACCUUAAUAGGGUGACUGUGGCAUUCUAGGUCAUUCCAGAAGGCACCCCACUGUGGCACAAAUCUGCUUCUAGCAACUGCAGGCGCAAGACCAAAAGAAGCAUACCUCACUAUGGGGCCACUGAUUUUCCUGGAAAAGGCUGGUGACCACAAUACGGAAAGGUGGACCUCUUCUGCCCAUACCCUUGUGGUGUUGGGCUGAGGCCUGGCCAUGGAGGUGUUCCCGAUUCUGGCUGCAGUUGUUGUGGGUCUUGCCUGAAGGCAUCAACUGGCUUCCCACCCCUUGAUAUGCCCUGUGUCCGUUUCCCAA